AUUGAACGCUGGCGGCAUGCUUUACACAUGCAAGUCGAACGGUAACAGGUCUUCGGAUGCUGACGAGUGGCGAACGGGUGAGUAAUGUAUCGGAACGUGCCCAGUAGUGGGGGAUAACUACUCGAAAGAGUGGCUAAUACCGCAUGAGAACUGAGGUUGAAAGCGGGGGACCUUCGGGCCUCGCGCUACUGGAGCGGCCGAUAUCAGAUUAGGUAGUUGGUGGGGUAAAGGCCUACCAAGCCGACGAUCUGUAGCUGGUCUGAGAGGACGACCAGCCACACUGGGACUGAGACACGGCCCAGACUCCUACGGGAGGCAGCAGUGGGGAAUUUUGGACAAUGGACGCAAGUCUGAUCCAGCAAUGCCGCGUGCAGGACGAAGGCCUCGGUUGUAAACUGCUUUGUUACAG
rnacentral:rRNA from 1 species